AGGACGAACGCUGGCGGCGUGCUUAACACAUGCAAGUCGAGCGACGCUCCUCCUUCGGGAGGAUGACGGAGCGGCGAACGGGUGAGUAACACGUGGGCAACCUGCCCCUAGCUCUGGGAUAACCCCGGGAAAUCGGGACUAAUACCGGAUAUGAAGUCGGACGGCAUCGUCUGACUUGGAAAGUUUUUCGGCUAGGGGUGGGCCCGCGGCCUAUCAGCUUGUUGGUGGGGUAACGGCCUACCAAGGCGACGACGGGUAGCCGGCCUGAGAGGGCGACCGGCCACACUGGGACUGAGACACGGCCCAGACUCCUACGGGAGGCAGCAGUGGGGAAUAUUGCACAAUGGGCGAAAGCCUGAUGCAGCGACGCCGCGUGAGGGAUGACUGCCUUCGGGUUGUAAACCUCUUUCAGCAGGGACGAAGCGAAAGUGACGGUACCUGCAGAAGAAGCACCGGCCAACUACGCGCCAGCAGCCGC
rnacentral:rRNA from 1 species